rnacentral:tRNA from 1 species
GGGAAUGUAGCUCAGCAGUACAGCUCCUGCCUGGCAAUCGCAGGCUCUGAGUUCAAUUCUCAGUACUCCCC